ACGGCCGCAUCAUAUUGAACCACCGUUUCCCGUACGAUCACAGAAAUUAAUCAACGUCGAGCUUGGUCAGUAUCUAAGAUGGGUGACCGCUUUGGAAUACCAGGU